UGCUUGAGUAGUAGGAGGUGUUCUUGAAACUUGAGGGUUUUGGCGGUCUUUUUUUCUUGUUAGAGGAACUUGCUCUUUGAUCGAUAAUCCGCGUUAUAUUUAACUUGGUUUUAGUUUGUAUAUCGCUGUUGAUGAUAUCUUUUGGGUAGGAUAUUGGUUAAUAAUAGGUCUUUACUUCAAGUCAAGGUGCAGCUUGUAAUUAAGGUUGAGGUGAGUUACUAUAAGGUUUUGUAGAUAUUUAAUUGAAAUUGGGAUUGAGAAUGGAUUUAAUAGUAAUUUGAUAUUAGAGAGUUUGAGUGAAUUGAGUUUAAAAAGAUGU
rnacentral:rRNA from 2 species